UUACUAUUGUCUGUCUGUGCGUACACGUACAAAUUAGGCAUUUGUGCACAAACACUUAGGAUAAUAGAUGUUGGGUAGAAGAGCUAGUCAGCCUGGAUAAGACCACAAGAGGAAUGAUCCAGGAACACAAGAGCCAGAAACACUUUAAGCGGUCAAGAGCAUCUCAGCUGAAAAACACCUAAAUAACAUCAUCAAGCGCGAGGACAGGAACUAAUUGUGUUCUGCAUUGCGAUAUAUCAAGCCUCAUUACUUCAGGUCGUUGUUCUUCAUCUUCCAGCGCUCCGGAUAAGUCCACAAAAAAGGUUCUAUAUCCACUUUAAUCUCAACAUACAAUGACAAUGCAGUCCACAGAAGAUCCCAUGUCCUCUACUAUCCAUGAGCAAGACUUCAACAUUUCACUUGCGACAACUAGUUUGCCUGCAACUGGUGCCUCCGAGAUCAGCUGCUUUAUUGACGCCCAGCUAGCAUUUAUAGCGACUGCCACUGCUGGUGGCAUCAUCCUUAUCCUUCUAACCUCCACCAUAGUCUUGGCAUGUACCGUCUCCAGCCUGAAACGCCGCCACCGGACCCCUCGUCCAUCCCGAAGCAAUGCCGACCUAGUGAGUGGAACAGGCUAUUGGGGUAACGAGAGAAGAGAGGGAGGAAUUGUGGGCCCAUGCGAAACCAGUGUUCUACUGGAGGACGUAAAGACCGAUGGUGAGGAGGAAGAGGUCCAAGAUGGCGCAGCAGGGCCAAGCCAGUACAUCAACACUUCUAACGCACCCGCUGACUUGGAGAGUGUCCCGACAGCCAUGCAGAGCUCAACCUCUAGGGAUUCCUGCAUAGAUCCCAUUAGUUUAGAAAACGUGCCUCUGAUGGUGUAAAGUAAAAGAGCUUUUUUUGUACGCUGGGGUAUGACAGGCACAUUUUCUACAUUUUAUUUCUCUUUUGUUUUUUAAAUAAAUGGCUUCAAUAGUUCAGCUACUGCAGUAAAAAAAAAGUGCAGUUACAAGUCGUCUCAUAGCAUUUUUGAGAAUUGUUUAACCAACUACGAUUAUCUGCUUAUCCUGUUAAAAAGGACAUUUUAUAUUGGUAAUAUUAGAUGAAAUAGAAAACUUUGACUUUUUUAACAGAUGAGGUCAAAGCAGCUCUGGAGAUCUGUUUAGUGAAGAUGACAAGGGAAAUAAGUAAAUAAAAUGUUGGUGUAUUAUUGUAUAUAUUGUGAAAUUGUAUUUAACCUCAGCUUUGUGUUACACUUUGGCCCUUUUUUAAAAUAUGACCAACAGCCGCAGCAGCAUCUACUGUAGAUAAAACCCAAAUAGUUGAACUCUAUACACCACUGUGUAUAAAUAGCAAAACAAGUCAAUUGUAGGGUUUAAUUUCUAUGCCAUUGCAGUCACCAAAGUUCAGUGAAGUGCAAAAAUAAUGACUUUUUGAAACAUUUAUCUGCCAUUGGUCAGUCAAACAGUUUGGAUCAAUCAACCUAUGAAUAAACGACUGGCAGAUGACUCUACAUGUAAAGCAGUUACUGUAGAAAUCACACACUUCAGCUUUAAAAUAAGCAAAGCAAUACCAUUAAAUCCUAUAAUAAUGAGCAUUCUUUAAGUUUCUCUCAGAACUCUGACAUC